GCCGCUUCCGCCGCCGCGCUUCCGGCUUCCGCCGCGCGGGGCAGGCCGGGCGGGCCGGGCCCUGAGGGGAGGGAGCCCGCGGUCCCCGGGGACGGGCCCGGCUCGGCCGGAGCCUGCCCGCCGCCGCACCGCCAGCGGGCCGCUUGCGGCGACAGAACAAAGGCCUGGGUGUGGUGCCUGCCCGCGCCGCCGGAGAGCGGCAGCGGGAGAACGCUAGUUGUGCUGAAGUGGGGGGGUUGCCCCCGAACGCACCGAGGAUGAAUGCGUGAGGUAGAAAUCACUCAGCUGUGAUCAUCGGAUUGGAACUGAAAGAAAUAUACGGGUUCUCAGUAACAAAUUUUUUUUUAAAGAAGAAAAACAACAGUAAAGAAGAUCAAAGAGAAAAAAGGAAAUAAAUGAGGAGACCGUGGCUGGAUAAGUCCCGUUCCAGUGCAGUGACCCUUUCCUUCGGCCGAGAGAGCCCCUCGCUCUCAGGCCCGGGGGAACGAGGGCUCUGAGCGGCUGCUGGGGUCUGAACAACUCCAAAACUCAGACAGAGGAGAUAACUCACCUGCCAGGUCCAUUGCAUUGGCUAGCUAAGGGCUUCCUAUCCUGCCCACUCUGAAAGCAGCAGAGGCAGUGACUACAGAAGAGCCCUGCAGGACUGAUGUGAUGAAACUGUGCCUGCUGACCCAUGGAAGACCAGCUGAAAUGCCUGAACUCCACUUCCCAGUUUUGCUCAAGCAAGAAGGGAAAUGUAGGUAUCAGCCUGGGGCUCCAGAGGACUCAGCUCCAGCAAACUCUACAGCCACCCAUGGGUAACCACACAGUAUGUGAGUGCCUGACUCUCCUCUUAUUCUGCUUCUACACACCCAAAAGAAUUACUGAUAUAAAUGGUUCUAACAUCAGUUCUCCAAGACACUGCAUUUUUCAACCCAAUCAGGUACUGUUCCCAAGAACCGGCCUGCAGUUUUGUGGCACUGCAGUGGAAACCACCCCUCUCUCCCCACAAUCAAAACUAGAAAUGAAUUAAAUUAUUUCAAUUAUCAAUCCCUGCUUUAACUUUCUCUCCCCCUUUUAGUUUGUUUUUUUUUUUUUACCAAAAAACAAUGAAAAAAUUUUGUUGUAGAUUGAGUUGCCCAAGUCAAACACCAGUCUUGCUUUAUUACAGUACAGACAAAAUAAUCAAACUUAUGUGGCACCAUACUUGUCCCACCUGCAAAUCACAAGCUAAAUCACAAGCUUCCAUGUUAAAGUUAUAUUUGAUACUUACCAAUGUAUUAUGUAGGAACAAGGUAUUUUGCUGGAGAUUUUUUGUAAAUUUUACAGCCUUUUUUUUACAGCAGUGGAAAUUCAAAAAAUUUCAAGAGGCACCAGAUUGUGAAUACACUCAUGUAAGAGUAUGAACCAUCAUACCAUCAAUUACUACUAUCAUUACUAAUUUUAGCUUGGCUCAGUGUUUGAGCCCAAACACAUUCUGACAGCAGCUCCAGAGCUGGGCAAGAAGCUUGCACGUGGAGAAGUCAUGCCCUGUUAGGAAAUGCAUUUACAUGAAUGCCUAGAAGGUUUUAUUUAACAGGACCUGGGUAGGCAAGCUGAACAACACACCGCAGAAAUCCUAACACUGCAAGACCCAAGAGUCUCGUGAACAGAAUCAGCUGAUACUCAAGAUGGGUGGUUUUUGUCCUGGAAUCAAAAGCAGGGUCAAGAUCCAUGCACCACUUGAAUCAAAAAAUCACUUAACUCGACUUUCCUUUUUUUUGACCAAGACCCCAACGUUAAUUGCUUGUCCACAGUCUCUUUCAUAAAGUACAUUAUACGUAACGUGUGAUCUGAGGAAACCUCUUCAGGAGCUUGUUCACUUUGCUUGAAGGCAAAUUUCCCUUGGAUGACAGGGU